UACGAAGGGGGCUAGCGUUGCUCGGAAUCACUGGGCGUAAAGGGUGCGUAGGCGGGUUUUUAAGUCAGAGGUGAAAUCCUGGAGCUCAACUCCAGAACUGCCUUUGAUACUGGAAGUCUUGAGUAUGGCAGAGGUGAGUGGAACUGCGAGUGUAGAGGUGAAAUUCGUAGAUAUUCGCAAGAACACCAGUGGCGAAGGCGGCUCACUGGGCCAUUACUGACGCUGAGGCACGAAAGCGUGGGGAGCAAACAGG
rnacentral:rRNA from 1 species